UGGUGUUUGUUUGCACAAGGAUUCUUUGGUAACAAUCUGUAGUCGGUUUCUGGCGGAAUGCGAGGUGAAGUCACGAUUUUCGGGAUGGAGAUUUGUGCUUGAGAAGCUCUGAGUUCCCGUCUGUCCACCUGCAUUGGCAUAUGGCGUCUCCCUUCUCUCCUGGACAGAAGGCCGUGUCCUGGGACUUCUCUGAUGGCGGGAGGCUGCGGCUGUACCAGUUGGAGACAAGAAAGAAGCUUCUCCAGGCUCCCCU
rnacentral:sRNA from 1 species